CAGUCGCCACGGGAAUACGUAGGUGGCAAGCGUUGUCCGGAAUUAUUGGGCGUAAAGGGCUCGCAGGCGGUUUCUUAAGUCUGAUGUGAAAGCCCCCGGCUCAACCGGGGAGGGUCAUUGGAAACUGGGAAACUUGAGUGCAGAAGAGGAGAGUGGAAUUCCACGUGUAGCGGUGAAAUGCGUAGAGAUGUGGAGGAACACCAGUGGCGAAGGCGACUCUCUGGUCUGUAACUGACGCUGAGGAGCGAAAGCGUGGGGAGCGAACAGGAUUAGAUACCCCUGUAGUCCCUGUCUCUUAUAC
rnacentral:rRNA from 1 species